rnacentral:rRNA from 1 species
CGGCUCAGUAACACGUCGAUAAUCUGCCCUUAAGUUCAGAAUAGCCUUGGGAAACUGAGAUUAAUACUGAAUACGGAAUACACACUGGAAUGUGGUAUUCUAUAAAGCUUCGGCGCUUAAGGAUGAGUCGGCGGCGGAUUAGGCUGAUGGUGAGGUAACGGCUCACCAUACCGAAGAUCCGUAGGGGCCCUGAGAGGGGUUGCCCCGAGAGGGACACUGAGAAACUGGUCCCAGCCCUAAGGGGUGCAGCAGCCGCGAAACCUUUACAAUGCACGCAAGUGUGAUAAGGGAAUUCUGAGUGCUUACGUUCUGCGUAGGCUUUUUUCAACAGUAAAAAUGUUGAAGAAUAAGUGGUGGGUAAGACUGGUGCCAGCCGCCGCGGUAACCCCAGCGCCACGAGUCGCAAUCACGUUUAUUGGGUCUAAAGCAUCCGUAGCCGGUUUGGUAAAUUUUCUGUGAAAUCGUCCAGCUCAACUGUACGACGUGCAGGAAACACUGCCAAACUUGGGACCGGGAGAGGUAUGAGGUAUUCUGGGGGGAGCGGUAAAAUGUUCUGAUCCUCGGAGGACCGCCAAUGGCGAAGGCAUCAUACCAGCACGGAUCCGACGGUGAGGGAUGAAAGCUAGGGGAGCGAUCCGGAUUAGAUACCCGAGUAGUCCUAGCCGUAAACGCUGCCAGUCAGAUGUUGCGUAUUCUACGGGAAUGCGCAGUGUCGAACCGAAGGGGUUAAACUGGCCACCUGGGAAGUACGGUCGCAAGGCUGAAACUUAAAGGAAUUGGCGGGGGAG